AUUGAACGCUGGCGGCACGCCUUACACAUGCAAGUCGAACGGCAGCACGGGUGCUUGCACCUGGUGGCGAGUGGCGAACGGGUGAGUAAUACAUCGGAACGUACCUUAUCGUGGGGGAUAACGCAGCGAAAGCUGUGCUAAUACCGCAUACGCCCUGAGGGGAAAGCGGGGGAUCGAAAGACCUCGCGCGAUUAGAGCGGCCGAUGCCUGAUUAGCUUGUUGGUGGGGUAAAAGCCCACCAAGGCGACGAUCAGUAGCUGGUCUGAGAGGACGAUCAGCCACACUGGGACUGAGACACGGCCCAGACUCCUACGGGAGGCAGCAGUGGGGAAUUUUGGACAAUGGGGGCAACCCUGAUCCAGCAAUGCCGCGUGAGUGAAGAAGGCCUUCGGGUUGUAAAGCUCUUUUGUCAGGGAAGAAACACCGGCUCUAACACAGUCCGGGAAUGACGGUACCUGAAGAACAAGCACCGGCUAACUACGUGCCAGCCGCCGCAGUAA
rnacentral:rRNA from 1 species